GCCAUUUUCCAAAAUGCCUUAUUCUUUACUAUCUCUGCACUUUUGUUCAUUCUCUCUACUUUGGAAAUGGCUCCUCUCUGGCUUUUCAUCUGUCAAAAUUCUGCCAUUUUCUCGGUAUCCAACUCAGAUGCUCUCUUUUCCAUGAGUCUCCUAACUAGCCAGAUUGGAACUUUUAAGUUUUAUGACAUUUUAUGUAUCCUUUCUUUGUAUACAAAAAUCCUGUAAAAUAAUUACUUGCCUGCAUUUGCUGUCUUUGCAGAUAGCAGACUCCUUGAAACUAGGGUCCUCGUUUAGUGCAUCUUUGCCCAUAUACAGCACAGCAUAUUAUGAAGCAUUUAUUAGGAAGGAGGAGUUUAGAGAGCAGGCUAUCAGAAUAAGCAGUCGGUGUUUUCUUAAUUGCUGUUAACUAAACUUACUCUUAAGGAGAAGAAAAGUCUCUAGAUAUGGGUCAUGUUUCUUUAUGUUUUAUUUUUUAAUUGUAAAUUUUGAAAGAUCUAGGGCUCCCUCAGACAUAAGGAGAAACCAAUAUGUUGAAUGGGGUAUUAUAUACAGAAGGACCAAGACCUUGUUCUCUCCUACUUAAGAUGGAAUCCUAGGAUGAAUGCUAGGACAGCUUUUUAAAAAGGAGCUUUUUAAUUUGAGGAAAGCAUUGGAAGAGAAGGAGGGGCAGUAUCUCCUUUUUUUUUUAUUGUUGGUAUAUAAACUUAGUUCUUUUUAUGCCACUUGUGGAGCCACUUCCUCAUCCCCAUCAAAAAAAUGCCCAGCAGCCUGAAUCCAAUGAAAUUACUUCAUUCAAAAGUACAAAGUUUAGUUUGUUUGCCACUUUGCAACAAUCAGGCUUUUGUUUUCUUUUUUGGAUUGUUGUUGUUUGUUUUCAUUUAUCAUUUGUCAUUGCCUAAGCCAGGCUCAUCAAGAAUUAAUAGCCAUCAGGCUGCUGAUGUGCUCCCAGCAGACCCACUUAGAGUCCUGUGUUUGUAAUUCCAUGCAUUUGUUAUCUUACCUGUUUUAUCCCUGCCCAUUCUAGUCUUGUGCCUCCUGAUUGCUGAGUGUUCACCUGGACCUUCUGACUACCUUCCUUGUGCUAUUCCAUCAGCCUACAGACCCUACAGACCUGGUACCUGGAUUUUUGCUGAAGAUGAUUCCUACCACCUUACUACUGAAGAAGACACCCAUUCCAUUGGACCACUGUGACUCAGGAGGCAUUCAGCCAUCAUGAUGUGGCCUUUACCUCCACUCCUGUUCUGUUCUACCGAGAUUCAGCACAGCCCUUUAUAGUGAAGUCAGAGUCCUCAAGCCAAAUAGCUAAAGCUGUUUUAUCACAACAAAGGCCUAGUUUGUUCCAUGAGUGUGAAUUUCUUCGGUUAAAGCCUUCAGAGACACACAUAAAUUUGGACCAGGGGAUUUUUUUAGUUAUUAAUGCUAUUUGAAGAAAGGCAACAUCUUUUUGAGAACAGCAUUGGACCGUACCACACAAUCUCAAAUGAUUGAAAUUCAUGAACAUCUGGGAUCCCAUGAAGGUCACUGCAUCCUCUUUUUUCCUACUUCAAAUCCUGUACUAGCCUACUGAAUGAGAAAACAUAUUCUGACCCAUUGGGACCAAAUCAAGGGCACAGAGAACUCCUCAUAGCAUCUUCUUUGGAAUUACUCAGGAACCAGAACUUUUUACACAAAUGUGAGAAAUUCUACCAGGGAGUCCCCUUACCUAACAGCAUCUCACAAGGCUGCAUCAGAUUCCAGAAAAGGCUUCUCUUGAUACAUCAAGCAUUUUGUGAACGACUUAUUCUUAGAUCAUUGGUUUUCCAAAGGCUUUGUGGCCAUGAAGCUCUUUGAGUGAAAACGUUGUAGAAGCCCAGAGUAAAAGUGAAGCUGCUCUGGAUGAAGCAAUGAAGCAGGAGUAGGGGCCUAAAGCCUGCUACAACUAUCUUCCUUUACCACCGUGGUGACACCUAAGGGGACUUCCUUACAACACCUUGAACUCUUCAGAACACAAUUUGAAAACCACUUCUCUAGACAGCGAUGUGUUUGACCUGAAUGGCAUUCCAAUCUCUUCUGUACCUCCACUCAGCAUAGUUCAUGUUCAGUUGAUGCUGAACAUUCUUAGAAAUACUGUGUGCAAACUUAGAAAAGUGCAAGAAGACAGGCAUGUCUUUGACCCCAGGAAUGGUCAUGGGCGGAAAGUGCUGUCAAGGGAAUCUAGGUUAACAGCCCUCCGCUCCAGAGGGAUAUCCAGUGAUUCCUAGAAUGGGAUAUAGCCAGAGAACAAUUCUACACGUGCUCUACACUGACAGACUCCCUUAAACAACUUCUAUUCACAAACACCAGAUGUGGUACUUGAAGUACAUGACUUUGAAGUUUUGACCCUCCAUGGAUACCUGAAUUGCCAGCAAGCGGGUUUUGAAGCUGGUGCCUCAUUGAGGCCAUAUUAGAGCAACUUGUACGUUCGACCUCUUGUCAUCAGCCAUGGUACUCUACUUCGUGCAAGAGAAAACUAUGAAAGCAGAAUUCAAAUACUAGCAACAGUUCCUAAAGGGACCCAAUAUCUGUUUAUCAUUCAUCAUCUUUUCCAAACUACACAUCACUGUAUGACUCAACCAGUAGCAGUUACACACUGUCCCUUGGUUUUUACUCAGUUUAACUACUGUUUCCAAGAUAAACAAGCUAACAACCUUUUAAAAAAAAAAAAAAAAGCUGAAACAAUUCCUUUAUUUUCAUCACUGGCAUAUCUGCCUAUUCAGAAUUAUUACUCAACUCCUAACAGCUGAUCUUCAAGAGACAGUCUUUGAAUACCCCUUCUGGUAUGUGAUUUAAAAUACAACAAUUUGGAAAAGCUUCUAGCCAAUAAGAGAUUUUUUUUUUAAUUGCUCUGUCUUGUGCUGAGGGUGUUCUUUUAAGAUGGAUCUUUUGAUGCCUGUUACCACCACCAAUAGCUGGUAGGUAUAGUUGGAGGCUGGCUCUUUGAGCAGGCCAUGAUAAGCUUACUCACUGGGUAUUUCAGGUAGCUUAUUACCUGCCUUUUUGCUGGAAACAGACUGAUUUGAAAAACAAAAUUUAUGAAGACUGCGGCUAAGGAUUUUAUCAGUAGACUUAAGAGCUUUUGUCCUUGUGGAUAUUUUUGUGGAACCACAUCAGUCUUAGUACUAUCAUUUUACAGUGAUUCAGAGCAGCUGACUUCAUUCUUGCCAUAAUAUACUUAAGGCAGGCAUUGUAACAGAUAUUAAGACAACUUAAUCUGUUUCAGCAGGAAGGAUUCCAUUCAUAAACUCACAAGCCAGAUCAUGUUGAACAAGGAGACUUUGAUGUGUAUCAUGAGAAAAGUCAUUCCUUUACUCCCCAAUUUAAAGACCAGCCAUCCUGAGCUACUCCAGUGAAUGCACUGGUUAAACUUUGGGAAUAGUUUCUUUAUAUCCUUGUCUCUCUCUAGGCCAGUUGUGAUUACAUGACUCCACAUCUCAUCAAACAAGGCCUACGGCUGGUUGCUGUAGACUGCUCACCCUCAACAAAUAAAAUCUGGAUGACUAGCCUGCUUGUAUUUGCAACUGUUAUUUGUAAAGAAGGUAUCUUCAAUUUUCUACAGCCUUCAAAUUGUCAGCUCUUUUUUUCCUUCUCUAAUUUUUUUGUACUUACAGAAAAAGACAUUGAUCUAUACUGCCAUUCCCUCUAAUCCUGCCAUACUCGGUCAAAAUGAACGACUUAAGAUGAAGAUGAUCAUCUGCUCAAGAGUCUAAAAUAUACAUCGUGUAUAAGAAUUGGAGAUUAGAAAAGCAACCUAAAACUUAAACCUAGGAGCUUGCCUACUAUCUCCAUGCCUCAGAUUUCAUCUCAAUCUUUGAACAGCACCAUUCAACCAAUCUGAGGCCUUGACUUAUAAGAUGAUUCUCAGAGAUGGGCUGAGUUACGAAAGAUGACGCCUUGAUUACCAAAGAAAGUAGGGCCAACUUUGACAAACCUGGCUCUGCUGACCCUGUCACUCCCAGAUGUAGCAUAGACUCUUAAACAGAACCUCAAGUCUGUUUGAGGAUAAGGCCUUCUCCUGAGCUGAAAGUUCUUUGGCAGAUGAGCAGGAAACUGAAAUCUGAUGGACCUGACUGGCUCUGUAAGAUCAGAAAACUGUAUCCAGAGUAAGCCCUAUGGAUUAACCCUGGAGUACCCAGGGUAAAAACUAAUUUACAGAAUUUCCUUAUUAAUCUGCCUAUUUUUCCAGAUCAUAUUCUGGCUAUUGGUAUGACUGGCCCUUCUGAAGUUACUCUACUUGUCUAUUUUCCUGACUCAGCUCUUGCCUGCCUUUUUCACAUGUUGCUGCAAUUUGACUCACUGACCUUGAGAAGACUACAGCCAAUUUUAGCCUAUCCUGUGCCCAAUACAACAAGGAUUUUUAAUAGAAACAACCCACACCUCACCUACUAGGACUCAACAAUCACAACAGGAAGGACCAUGCUGUGUACUCCUUGAUCAGGAGCUUUUUUAAAGAUACUUCUAAGUGCAGAGUAAGCCUCUGUUCCUGUGUGUAUUUGAUCACUUUCAGCACCUGGAACCUCUUCUAUCAGAUCUGGAAGGAAUACAGCAGAUUCAAAGCGGUGUCCAUUUCUCUCCUGUAGUAGUGCAGAAAUGAGUCUGAUUUACCAGUGCACACACAACUGUACCAGUUCAACCGGCAAAAAGGAACACAAGAAAAGUUUCCACUGUACUUAAAAUUUACCACUGACUCAAAUUGCAUCACAGAAUUAUUUAAUGUAGAAGGCUAGUUGUCUUGCUUCACAUCAGCAGGACAGUUGGGCUCUCAGACUCCUGAUCACUGAGUUUGCUUGUAUUGAAACUCUGUGGUUUUAUCCAAAGUAUGCUAUUGGACAUGAUUAUUAUUCCAUUCAAAUGGAUUACAGACUUCUUGAGGACAGGACAAACUUAGAAUACUUUUAUAACCGAGGAAGAAACCAUGCCAGUUAUUAGCAUUCAACUUCAUAAACAGAGAUUAAGAUUUUUCAUACUGUUCUUAUCCUGGACAGCAGUAGUUUUUAAUUGCCCAGCAUCCAUUCCAUCUCAUUGUAACAACUCUAUGAUGUUUCUUAAAACCACCUCUUCCUGUUUUUAGUCUGUGUGGUUUGGACAGUUUGACCCAACCUUGAGUGAGCUUUGUGGAUGGACAUGUAAUUGAGACCUCAUCAAUCAGCAAAUCCAUCUGAACUGUGGAGGAGAAGCUCUCUUUACUGAGGUGCUUUAGCUUUGUGGGAUGAAAACCUCAAACCAACAGGGCCUACCAUGUAGAGAACGAAGCCAGUGCAGGGGAAAGCAGAGCCAAAAUAAUGGAGAGACUUGAAUCCUGAUGACAACGUUUGUGCCCCUGGAUCCAACCGUGCCUGAAGCUAGUAUCCCCUGGACUUUUCAGUUAUGUGAACCAAUAAAUACCCUUUUUUGCUUAAGUUA